AUCUAAACCCAUGAUAAUUUAGCGUACUUGGCUAUCGCGGUGCUCACCUUUUAUUUAUAAUCCAAUAAGUAGUGUCUUCGUAGGAAACCUACUAAGACUCAAAACACCUAAUUACAACUGAAAAAGGAAAUCAAAAACAACUCAACUCUAAGACUCAACUCAUAGCACAAUGGGGAAAAUCCCCCUAUCAUGAACACUCUUUAACAGACUGAAAUUUGACAUAUGACCAGUCCAAACCGUGCCUUAUCUACUAAAUAGAUAUGUCAUCCUCCCACAUGACAAAAUUAAGUGGACCACACUGGAAGACAUUGCUAUGUGGGCCUUGUGAAGAAGGCAUGGCAUUUUACUGUUUAAUAAUCCCUAGUCUUAUCUUUUAUUUUUCUCCUUUGUGCAUUUAAUUAGGUGAAAAGUUAUGAGGGCAGUCCUUCAAGGAGCCGUAGUCAAAGCAGGAGUCGCAGUAGAAGCAGAAGCGUGAGAAGGGAUCGGAGCAAAUCUUUGGAUCGAUCUGUCUUGAGAUCACCAUCAAAAUCUAGGUCCCCAUCUCCUGCCAGCUUGCCCAGGUCAAGGUCAAGGUCAAGGUCAAGGUCAAGGUCGAGGUCGAGAUCUAGGUCAGGUUCACCACGCCAGGCUCGAUCAGGGAGCGCAUGAAAACCAUGCAGUGGAAUCAGAAGAGUUGGCGGUAGGGGAGCUGUUAGGCAAAAUGUAAUAUCUGUGGAUCUGCUAGCUGUAUCGUGAAUGUGAUUGCCUUUCAUUAACUAAGUCAAAAACUCGGUGGAGACUUAUUCUGUUACAUCCUCAUUGGGUCUGUAGAGCGAGUCGGAGUAUGAUACUUAGUCUGUGCUACUAAUACUGUCCUAAGAGUUUUACUUAGUCUGUGCUACUAAUACUGUCCGAAGAGUUUUACUUAGUCUGUGCUACUUAUACUGUCCUAAGAGUUUUAACUAAAUUUCAUGUCUUUUGAGAUACUACCUAGUUACAUAAUCCUCUACUUAAA